UACGUAGGGUGCGAGCGUUAAUCGGAAUUACUGGGCGUAAAGCGUGCGCAGACGGUUUUGUAAGCCAGAUGUGAAAUCCCCGGGCUUAACCUGGGAAUGGCAUUUGGGACUGCAAGGCUGGAGUUUGGCAGAGGAGACUGGAAUUCCCGGUGUAGCAGUGAAAUGCGUAGAUAUCGGGAGGAAUACCGAUGGCGAAGGCAGGUCUCUGGGCUAUAACUGACGCUCAGGCACGAAAGCGUGGGGAGCAAACAGG
rnacentral:rRNA from 1 species